rnacentral:sRNA from 1 species
UUGAAAAGAAAACAAAAUGAAAGAAAUUCAUUUUUAAUAAAUGUUUUCGACAAAUGGCUGCCGACCGGAGGGAGGGGCAGUACAUCUU